rnacentral:rRNA from 1 species
AGUGAACGCUGGCGGCGUGCUUAACACAUGCAAGUCGAACGAGAACGGAACAUAGCUUGCUAUAUUUGUCAGCUAAGUGGCGCACGGGUGAGUAAUGUAUAGAUAACCUGCCCUUAAGAAAGGAAUAACAGUUGGAAACGACUGCUAAUGCCCUAUAUGCCUUUAAUACAUAAGUAUGCAAGGGACACGCUUUAGUGCUUAAGGAUGGGUCUGUAUGGUAUCAGCUUGUUGGUGAGGUAAUGGCUCACCAAGGCUAUGACGCCUAACUGGUUUGAGAGGAUGAUCAGUCACACUGGAACUGAGACACGGUCCAGACUCCUACGGGAGGCAGCAGUGGGGAAUAUUGCACAAUGGACGAAAGUCUGAUGCAGCAACGCCGCGUGGAGGAUGACACAUUUCGGUGCGUAAACUCCUUUUAUAUAGGAAGAUAAUGACGGUACUAUAUGAAUAAGCACCGGCUAACUCCGUGCCAGCAGCCGCGGUAA